rnacentral:rRNA from 1 species
AACGAACGCUGGCGGCAGGCUUAACACAUGCAAGUCGAGCGCCCCGCAAGGGGAGCGGCAGACGGGUGAGUAACGCGUGGGAAUCUACCCAUCCCUACGGAAUAGCUCCGGGAAACUGGAAUUAAUACCGUAUACGCCCUACGGGGGAAAGAUUUAUCGGGGAUGGAUGAGCCCGCGUUGGAUUAGCUAGUUGGUGGGGUAAAGGCCUACCAAGGCGACGAUCCAUAGCUGGUCUGAGAGGAUGAUCAGCCACAUUGGGACUGAGACACGGCCCAAACUCCUACGGGAGGCAGCAGUGGGGAAUAUUGGACAAUGGGGGCAACCCUGAUCCAGCCAUGCCGCGUGAGUGAUGAAGGCCUUAGGGUUGUAAAGCUCUGUCUUCAGGGACGAUAAUGACGGUACCUGAGGAGGAAGCCACGGCUAACUACGUGCCAGCCGCCGCGGUAAGAC